rnacentral:rRNA from 1 species
CAGUCGCCGCGGUAAGACAGAGGAUGCAAGCGUUAUCCGGAAUGAUUGGGCGUAAAGGGCUCGCAGGCGGUUUCUUAAGUCUGAUGUGAAAGCCCCCGGCUCAACCGGGGAGGGUCAUUGGAAACUGGGAAACUUGAGUGCAGAAGAGGAGAGUGGAAUUCCACGUGUAGCGGUGAAAUGCGUAGAGAUGUGGAGGAACACCAGUGGCGAAGGCGACUCUCUGGUCUGUAACUGACGCUGAGGAGCGAAAGCGUGGGGAGCGAACAGGAUUAGAUACCCGAGUAGUCCCUGUCUCUUAUAA